UUUAGGCAACACAACUUGACCACUGUGGACUGAGAGAGAAGACUGGUCAUCAAGGUGACUGGCUGAGUAGAACAGAAAGGAGGAAUGGAGUUGUUUAGAAACCAAGCCACUGGAUUGGCCAUCAUUCCAGUGGAAAGUUUUGCACCACAUGAAAAGGAUUUCUGCAAUCUGGACAUUAUGCACAGACUAUGGUGGCAGUUGUGUGACAACUUGAAGAUAAAAUGUGACUGUGUUGAGAAUGUUGAAGUGAAUAGAUGGAAAGAACCUGAGUCCCUACUAUGGUCACUGAGUCACUGGAUCAAAGCUGGAACUGCCUACAGAAGGGGUCUCACUAUGUUGUCUGGAGUGCAGUGGUGGAGUGGAGUGGCUAUUCACAGAUUCUUGGAAUGGACUGUAAAAGUCUGGAGUCAAGACUUUGUGUUUCCUCUCUAACAUGUAAAGAGCUUAGAAGUUGUCGCUAUUGCCCUUACAACAAAAUGAAGCUGGACAAACUGAAAAUCAAUGACUUUUCUUGGACUCACUAUAGAGCUGAAUUUGCAGAGUAAACCACUACCCUGAAAUCUGGAAAGGCAGGUGAACCCAUAGAUCCUCAGCUGAGAUCCAAUUACCUGAAAUAGAAGCUGCCAUUAGGAACACUUAAAAAGCCUGUUCUGCUGGGACACAGAAUCACUUGCUCCAUCUAAUACAUUGAUGAUGAUUAAUUUGUAUGUGUACCUUCCAAAAAAGAUGGUUGUGUUUGAACGGAGGCCUCCUGGACAAGAAAAAUGGAGAGUGCGUGCUUUGGAUUCAAGACUGGGAGUGAGGGGACCAGAAACCUAUUCUGUGGCUGUUUCUUGUUAGGACUUUCCUAAGCCUCUGGAAAAUGCAAAGUACAAUUAACAUUUGAGUCUGUCUGAGUCAUGAAGAAAUGGAGAUUACUGAAAAUAAUUCAUUUUGGUAUCUUCUUACAUCCUGAGAGACUAAUCUUUCCAAGUUCAUCUGAGGCUCCUCUUCUCCAUGACAACCUCAUCCAGGGAUUUCUUCCUGUCCUGGUGUUUUAUGACACAUCCUCAUCUCGCUUGUAAGGAUAAUAGCCUUCCUCUAAACCUCACACACUUUUGGAGGAGAUCACUUUUUUUAAAGUGCAUGGAAAUGUUUUGAAACACUGAAAUCUAUAAUGAUAGGUUUCAUAAUUCUAACAUCCACACCAUAUAAUCACAUCCUUCCUGAGAUAAUGAGCACACAAUUGCCUGGAUACCUGAAGGAAUGGAGACAGUGGCAGAAAACACUGCAGAGAGGUGGAAACAUCCGUUAAUAUUUUAAAAUCCCAUUACUGCUACCAACAAUAAUAAUGGAUGCAUAGAAAUAGAUCUGGAUUAGCUGAGCUUGAAACAGUCCAUCUCACACACACACAAAAGAAUUUCAUGGUAACAGACGCAUAAGGAACUGCUCAGAGUAGUACAGAAGGAACUCUAAUGCGCAGGCGCUUCGGUGGGGCAGCAGCAAAUGUGCGUGAUCUGGCUAAAGAGGGAACCCAGAAAGGGUGUCAGCUCCAAAUAUGGAUUAGCCACAGCCUUUCCACGAGGGGGAAUAUACAGUGAACCCACAUGUUGAAGCUUUCUAGUAUAAUAAAAAUUUCAACUGUUCUGUUGAAUCAUUUGUCCUGAUUGGAGGCUACAGAAAAGAUGUCAUCUUAGAGUGCUUGCUCUGAGUGAGGCUCAUCUUCAAAUCUGAAUGACCAAAAGGAGAUUUGAUUAUACAUGUGAACACCUCAGAAGGCACAGCCCGCCCAGAAGGCAGACAGGUCAGGCUGCUUUUUCUUCAUUGGUUGGAUUCAAUCCUCCGGGCGGCUCAGACAUAACUUAAGCAUGAUUAAACUUUAGAAGAAGCUGCCAGGAAGACUGUGAAAUCUUCAUGCCCAAGGAUCCCUAAAAUUAGGAGCAACAACCACUUGGCUCAGAUGGUUUAUGGAGGCAAAGGUUUGGAUGGGAUUAGAGAUUUCUAAAUGUGAGUUCGUGUCCUCUGCCAGACCACCUUACUUCCACCAUUCCUCAGCAAAUCAAGAAAAACAGGAGAAAAGACAUGCCUUUCUAUAAGUUAAAUCUAUUCUGUUUUAAUUCUAUAUUAUAUCUGCUGUACAACUUCUUUUGUUUGUAACACCAUAUUGUUGCUAGUAACUGGAAAUUAAUUUUCACAUGCCUCAGCUUAGAAAAAUAAAAAGCAGCCCU
rnacentral:lncRNA from 1 species